GACAGAGGUGCCAAGCGUUAGGCGGAAUCACUGGGCUUAAAGCGUGUGUAGGCGGAUUUGUAAGUACCUUGUGAAAUCCCACGGCUCAACCGUGGAACUGCUCGGUAUACUGCUUAUCUUGAGCCACUUAGGGGCUACCGGAACAAAUGGUGGGGCGGUGAAAUGCGUAGAUAUCAUUUGGAACGCCAAUGGUGAAAACAGGUAGCUGGGAGUGUGCUGACGCUGAGACACGAAAGCCAGGGGAGCGAACGGG
rnacentral:rRNA from 1 species